UACGUAGGGGGCAAGCGUUGUCCGGAAUCAUUGGGCGUAAAGCGCGUGUAGGCGGCUCAGUAAGUCCGCUCUGAAAGCCCGGGGCUUAACCCCGGGAGGCGGGUGGAUACUGCUGAGCUUGAGUCCGGAAGAGGCGAGUGGAAUUCCGGGUGUAGCGGUGGAAUGCGUAGAGAUCCGGAAGAACACCAGUGGCGAAGGCGGCUCGCUGGGCAGUGGCUGACGCUGAGGCGCGACAGCGUGGGGAGCAAACAGG
rnacentral:rRNA from 1 species